AACGUAGGACGCAAGCGUUAUCCGGAGUUACUGGGCGUAAAGGGCAGGCAGGCGGGUCGAUAAGUCGGAUGUGAAAUCUCCCUGGCUUAACCGGGAGAGUGCAUUUGAGACUGUCAACCUGGAGGGCAGCAGAGGAGCGUGGAAUUCCGGGUGGGAGUGGUGAAAUGCGUAGAGAUCCGGAGGAACACCAGAGGCGAAAGCGG
rnacentral:rRNA from 1 species